AUAUAUACUUUUUUUUUUUAAGUAUAGUGCAAAGAUAUGGUCAACCACGCCCCGGAUGGAAAGUGGUCAUAAAUGGAGAGAUACAAGGUAUGAAGCGACGCUGGCUGAUGCUUUGAGAUUGUAUCAUUUGGCUUCAUGCAUUCAUAUUUCUUGUUAAGGAGGCCCAUGACAUUUACGGCAGGAAGAGGGCUUUCCAAGGGUUUGAGGGCAUGGCAGUACUAGUGGAGCUGAGCCUGGGGCCAGGACUGGGACUGGGCCCCUGGGAAUUGAUACGACGUACUGGAGCCAGAAGCCUCUGCCCUGACACUCAGACACACACACACACACACACACACACACACAGGAAUGCAUGCAUGCACACAAACAAGCAUGCGCAUAAAACACACAAAAAGGAAUGCACGCAGGCACCCAUGUAAAUGGAUGUGCACGCACACACACAACCUCUUCCUGCCAACAGCAGCGGGUUCCUCUGGAUGGGGAGAAUUCGGCAGUCAUUCUAGACAAGAAAAAUAAGACAGCUAAACUACAGAGGGGUUACACACACACUCAUUAACACACAGCCUGGCGUUUGGCACACACACACACCUUCACACUAUCACAUGCAACAUCUCCCUCAGGGAAUAAAUGAAGGGUAAUCCUGAAGCCUCCUUUUAGCUCCCUCUUUGGAUAGAAAAUGGGGUGUGUCACAGAUGAGUUACACUUGUGGUAUGCUGGUAUUCCAUAGAUUAUAACGAAGCACAGAAGAUCCACCAUGGUUACACCGCCACUCAUUCGGCUGGUGUUUCAAUAGGGGAACAACCAUGUGACCCCUACAGAGAGUGCACUGACAGGGCAGAGGUCAGGAGUACUUUUAUAUUGGCAGUGGAGCACAGCAGAUAUACCUAACCACACAGCUGACCACAGCACUUCUGCUACCUCUUCUAGGACAAAAGGUCUUCUUCAAAGUUAUGUUCGAGCUACUUUCACUUCUAUCAAAAAAUUUCCUCUGCGUGGAGACUUGACAUUAUGUCAGAAUAUACUUUUCUUGCUUUAGUAAACUCUUUGCAGUGUAUCACAGUUGGUGACCAUACCUUUUCAUGACCACAGUCAAUCCACGUUGUCACAGCAACAGUAUCUAAAAACAGUUUAGUAAUGUCUCAUGUCUUGCCUUUCCAUCAGAGAAAAAGAUCACAAAUAUAAACUUGGGAAUUAGAAAUGGCAGAGAUUAUUAAGGCAGAAUUGGCAAUGGAUCAAAGUGGUUAACAUUUGAGUCUAUCCAUAAAACAGUGCUAUAAAAGCUUUAUCACGGGAUCCAUUAAUACAUUCACACCCAAAUAAAAGUCAACACCCUUGAGAAACGUGAUUUAACUGUUUCUCUGUGUGCACAUGUGAAGUGAAACCAGUCACAAGGACAGCAAUACAGCACACCACAAACCAUCAGCUAAAGGUCUUGAUCCUGUAGUACAGGGUGUUGUCUAGCCAUCAGCUAAAGGUCUUGAUCCUGUAGUACAGGGUGUUGUCUAGCCAUCAGCUAAAGGUCUUGAUCCUGUAGUACAGGGUGUUGUCCAGCCAUCAGCUAAAGGUCUUGAUCCUGUAGUACAGGGUGUUGUCUAGCCAUCAGCUAAAGGUCUUAACCCAUGGGUUCAGAGCCACUGUAGGUAUAAGCACAGUCAUUAAGGGCCCCUAUACGAACAUUAUAUGUUAAGUUGAGUCACAAUCACUGAUGACACUCAACUAAACCAUCUCUGCUAAUUCACUUUUGAUUAAAAAGACAAUCUAAAUAUUUACAAAAGUUGUCCUCUUUCUAAACAAUACAUCAUGUCAAAAUUCCUCUCAGAUGUUUGAGUGUUGGCUGUUACAUUUAUAAAUGAAAUGCUGCACCUCCACAUGUUUUCCCAGUAGCUCAAGGUUAAAAAAUGGAACUCGUUAAGUAACCCAGAAAACAAGCUGGAUUGUGGGUCAGUUACAGUCUGAGCAACUGGGCAUCUUUAAAACACACAGGAAUUAGCCUUUUAAUUGAAUUUGAAUUAAAUUGAGUAUAAUAGUGAAGUAUAAAUUGUAUUCAAAUGUCAGUAUAUUUUACUGUACACAUCAGCAAAAUAAUAAUUCUGAUACAUGAAAAUGAUUACAGUGUUCAUAUUUAUGAUAAUCACAAUGUUAGUCUAAUGCUAAUCUGCCUUGCCACAACCUAACUGCCCAAAAUAUUUAUAGCUGAACAGUUUCUCCAAUAAAAACAUAUCUUGCUUGUCUAUAGGUUCUAUUAGUAGUUGCCUACAACAGCAUCCAAACCGAUUAUCUUGUAGUACCAGUUUCAGAACCUUGGCGCAAUAGCUUAAAAUGUGGCUAUUGGGUAGAAUACAUAAUUAAAUGAAAAUAAUCCGUUCUAGACCCUGUAUCCUUCACUAAAGUGAAUACAUUUCAGUGAAACGUGCUCAUCUUCGCCUUAUCCUUUAGGGCUGGCCCAAAACAGUUGCUAGGGAGACAACAUGAGAAUGUUCAAACAUGUCUUCCUUCAUUAUUAUAAAUGACGGAUAUAAGAAUAUAAGGACUUAAACUAAGUUGCCUUCGAU
ensembl:lncRNA